rnacentral:rRNA from 1 species
AUUGAACGCUGGCGGCAUGCUUUACACAUGCAAGUCGAACGGCAGCGCGGGCUUCGGCCUGGCGGCGAGUGGCGAACGGGUGAGUAAUGCAUCGGAACGUGCCCAGUAGUGGGGGAUAGCCCGGCGAAAGCCGGAUUAAUACCGCAUACGACCUGAGGGUGAAAGCGGGGGACCGAAAGGCCUCGCGCUAUUGGAGCGGCCGAUGUCGGAUUAGCUAGUUGGUGGGGUAAAGGCUUACCAAGGCGACGAUCCGUAGCUGGUCUGAGAGGACGACCAGCCGCACUGGGACUGAGACACGGCCCAGACUCCUACGGGAGGCAGCAGUGGGGAAUUUUGGACAAUGGGGGCAACCCUGAUCCAGCCAUGCCGCGUGCGGGAAGAAGGCCUUCGGGUUGUAAACCGCUUUUGUUCGGGAAGAAAUCCUCUGGGCUAAUACCCCGGGGGGAUGACGGUACCGGAAGAAUAAGCACCGGCUAACUACGUG